rnacentral:rRNA from 1 species
AUACGUAGGGUGCGAGCGUUAAUCGGAAUUACUGGGCGUAAAGGGUGCGCAGGCGGUUUUAUAAGCCAGAUGUGGAAUCCCCGGGCUCAACCUGGGAACUGCAUUUGGGACUGUAAGACUAGAGUACGGCAGAGGGGGGUAGAAUUCCACGUGUAGCAGUGAAAUGCGUAGAUAUGUGGAGGAAUACCGAUGGCGAAGGCAGCCCCCUGGGUCGAUACUGACGCUCAGGCACGAAAGCGUGGGGAGCAAACAGGAUUAGAAACCCCAGUAGUCC